AGAAGAUCGGGGGGUGUUAAAAUACAUGUGAACGCAGAGAAAACAAAGAUUCCAACGGGAGAGCGUGCUUGCGGGCAAAACUUCUGUCGUAAGACAUCAGUUGGGAGAUAGCGCUGGGCACAAAAUAUAUCCGGGAGAGAGCAGCGGGCCCUCUUCUCACCGCCGAUAUUCGCCAUCAUUCGCUCCUCAUUUCAAUUCGUUUUCUUCUUUCUUUUUCUACCACCAUCACGCUUUUUGACUGCGUAAUUUUUGCACGGACUGUGUAAAGUGUACCGCUCGUUUAACAAUCGCAACUUGAACAAUCCGAUUAGUGGACAAAGAAUUAGAUAUUCCAUAGAGCG
ensembl:ncRNA T21B6.17 ncRNA